CAGCAGGAUGCAAAUAGGAGAGAAGUUCGAUGAGGCGUGAAUCUGGGACACGGGGGACUGCCCCCACCCAGGCCAGGCUGUGUGGUGAAGUCAACUCUGUAAAAUGGGGAUUGUAAAUCUCGUCACCUGCCUUAGACUCAGGAUUGGCAUAAUUUUAACAGCAAUCAUCAUGGCUCAUCUCUGCAGGAGUAUAAAAGUCACAGCAAAGUUUUUUUAAGCCUUUUCCCAGCUCUGUUUUCUUCAACAGAUUUCUAGGUCCUCGUAAUCCACCAAGAGGCUCACGUAUCAGCAGUACCAACAUAUUUCAAGAACAGAAAUAAACCUAUGUUAUGAAAA